rnacentral:rRNA from 1 species
GAGUUUGAUCAUGGCUCAGAACGAACGCUGGCGGCAGGCCUAACACAUGCAAGUCGAACGCUCGUAGCAAUACGGGAGUGGCAGACGGGUGAGUAACGCGUGGGAAUCUACCCAAUGGUACGGAAUAACUCAGGGAAACUUGAGCUAAUACCGUAUGUGCCCGAAAGGGGAAAGAUUUAUCGCCAUUGGAUGAGCCCGCGUCGGAUUAGCUAGUUGGUGGGGUAACGGCCCACCAAGGCGACGAUCCGUAGCUGGUCUGAGAGGAUGAUCAGCCACACUGGGACUGAGACACGGCCCAGACUCCUACGGGAGGCAGCAGUGGGGAAUAUUGGACAAUGGGCGCAAGCCUGAUCCAGCCAUGCCGCGUGAGUGAUGAAGGCCCUAGGGUUGUAAAGCUCUUUCGACGGGGACGAUAAUGACGGUACCCGUAGAAGAAGCCCCGGCUAACUUCGUGCCAGCAGCCGCUGUAAC